rfam:Ovis aries breed Texel chromosome 4, whole genome shotgun sequence.
UCCCUGGUGGCUCAGAGGUUAAAGCAUCUGCCUGGAAUGUGGGAGACCCAGGUCCGACCCCUGGGUUGGGAA